UAGGUAGAGCUGAGAGUAGGAG
rnacentral:misc_RNA from 1 species